GGAAAGAGGUUUGAGGUGGUAGCCCCACAGUUUGGACUUUGUUACGGUGGCGGAGCGGCCACAGAGUUUUGCUGAGACCGUCUCUGGAAGAGACAGUUACGUGGACUGGAUUAUGAAGGGCUGCAACUGAAUAUGCUUGGCUCUGAUGGGAAAGAAAAAUCCUCUGAAGAUUUUGAUCUAACUUAAUCUAUUUUAUAAGCAAUUUACUCUGAAGUUUUGUUGUUUGAAAACUAACCAAGAAACACCUUGUGACUGCAUCUAAAAGAAAAAAAAACAUCAUGUUGAAGCUAAACUUUCUAAUGCAACUGAAAUGCAGAAGCAGUAAUUACCUAAACAACUAAAGCAUAACAAGCAGAACAAAAUGAAAUAGAAAUCUGAUGCCCCCUCAAGUCCUCCUAAACAGGCAAGCAAUUUGAUAAGGAGGGCCCUUUAAAAACAUUUGCCAAGCCUCAGGAAGAAUAAGUGAAUGGAAUUUGAAGUUAGUAAAGUUCAAACAGGAAGUAAAUUGCACAUUUUUAACAUGACAGCUGAAUAACCACUGAAGCAAAUUCCUAAUAUUUGUGGUCAGUUCUUCAUAUUUGAAAGCUUCAUAAUGGUGUUUAUGAACUUAGAGGACAAGGUGCAGGAAUUUAAAGUCUAACCUCUAAUGUGACUGACAUUAGGCAGGAUGACAUUAGCGAGAAUGUUUAUCAAACUGCUUCCAUCUGGGCUUAAAAUAUCGUAAAUAUAAACUGCAAAAUCACAUGAACACUUGGAAUUCAAAAACUAACUGUUAGAAAAGGGGUAUAUAAGCCCCAUGAUAUUCAACUCCCUUAGGGUAAUUAGGAAAUCAGACCGAGCUACAUAUCCUACUGAGUUUUAUGAGCAAGUAUGUCUUGUAGUUGUAUGAGCUUGAACUUGAAAUAAACUUUCAGCUAAUAACUUGGGGCUUCAAAUUAAAAGAGUUUUUCAAUAGAGAUUUAUCUUUGCUCAAAUAAUACUGAAGUUUCUUAACAAAAGGAAUGAGACAAGUGAAUGUCUGGGCAAUUACAUGGCAUUUCUAAUGAGGAGAUGCCAAUUGUAAAAGAUAUGGGAAAUUUAAAAAUAAAUUGGGAGCAAUAAUAUCCAUUUUAUGUUAUGAUUUCUUUAGCACCAGAGUUGUACUGUAACACUGAAAUAAUUCAGUCACUAGUGUGUGCUGACAGAGUGAGCCCUAGGCACACAUUUAUCAUUUCAGUAUAACUCCACUGGAGCCAGUGAAGUAACGUUUGGAUUUUCAUAUAUGUAAAUGAGAUCCACUUUGGGUCCUCUGUGCCUAAGUAGCAGUAUAUCACCAUACAGAGAGGAAUUAAAAAUGUGCAUAGAUAAGAGAAAUCUGCCCUCAUGAAAAUCUGCUUAGUCUACUGAGAGACAAAGAUAGGAGCAGAGUGAAAAACAGUGGAUAAAUCAAAUGUAGUCGUGUUUUUGAAAAUCAGUGAUUUGAUAGAAGACAUAAAGGAUAAGGUUUCUAGAAACCUAGCAAGAUAGGUGGGCACAUUGCUACUCUUUAUCCUUUCCUGCCUUUAUACUGAUUCAAAUGCAUCUCUCCUUACAGUAUUUUGUUCAUUCUCAAAACUGGCUUCCCAAUACUUAUUAACUCCUAACUAUUGGCCUCCAUUGGAGCUCACAGUCCAUAAGUGAUAAUAUACUCCCAUGAAAAAAUUGGGGGGGGGGGGAGGAUUAGAGACUGGAUGAGGCUCCUUUGGGAGGUAGAUUGGACCUGGUUUAAGUCAAUCCAAGCCCAGUUCUUCAUGAAGUAAUCCAGUAGAUAUUGUGCCAAAUCCAUCCACCCACUGUAUGGUGUGCAGCGUUGGUUCCCUCAUCCAGCAUCCCACUACAAACUUUCCAUCACAGAAGGCUGAGAAGAUUCUGCAGGAGCAGAACUACUUCUUAUAGCUUAUUGUCUCUGAUUCUUGUUCUUUUUUACUUGGAUUCUCCAGUUGGACCAACCUUUAAUUCAGUUUGACCAACCUGAAGUCUGUAUUGGUCAAAAAGACCCACCACCUGCACCUGGGUUUAAGUCUUGGGAAAUCACAAUACCUGUCAUUGGAUAACCAUCUCUGGCAGUCCUGACCUGAAGAAAUCAGGGGCACUUACCAAACUGACGUCCACCCAACCACUGAAGUCAAUGGAAAUAUUCCUACUGACACCCACACCUUUAGGCUUCUGUUAGGUUGUAUUUGGUUUGAAUAUAUAUGCCAUCUGCCACAAGUGCACACUGUGCUUCCAUGCACAUAGAAUUAGGAAAUUAGGAGAUAAAGCUUUGCCAGUUGGAGAUAAAGCUCUUCCAAACUUUGUCACAUUAAGACCUCAGGAGAGACUUGUAUGCUUGAAAGCAUGUCUUUUUUGUUUGUUAGUUUUCCUCCCACCUGUAUCAGCUGAAUUAGUGACAAAUACUAUCUCCCCCUAAAAACCUACCUCUUUAUAUAUCAUGACUGUAACCAUGCUAUUAAAGAAGUGCUCUUCGGUGCCAUUUUCUGCAUAAACAACAACAACAAACUAAUCCCUCCCUCUACAAAAGAACAAAGUUUGCUUUCUUAAUAAAGAGGGUGAUACUUGAUUUCCAGUGAGAACUUUGUUCUUUAUUCCACCUUGUGACUUUGAAAAUGUGUAUUAGAUAAACAAAAAGGUUUAUAGGAAAGCCUUAUGUACUAAACAUCUGGAAGUGCUUUUUAGUCUCUCAAACUAAGCUUUACAUCAAUCAAGAAAAUUAUACAUCCUUAUCAACUGUACAAGAAAGUACUAACAAAACAUUCUGUACAUCUGUAUACUUUU